rnacentral:rRNA from 1 species
AGUGAACGCUGGCGGUAGGCCUAACACAUGCAAGUCGAACGGCAGCACAGUAAGCGCUUGCUCUUACGGGUGGCGAGUGGCGGACGGGUGAGGAAUACAUCGGAAUCUACUUUUUCGUGGGGGAUAACGUAGGGAAACUUACGAUAAUACCGCAUACGACCUACGGCUGAAAGCAAGGGAUCUUCGGACCUUUCGCGAUUGAAUGAGCCGAUUUCGGAUUAGCUAGUUGGCAGGGUAAAGGCCCACCAAGGCGACGAUCCGUAGCUGGUCUGAGAGGAUGAUCAGCCACACUGGAACUGAGACACGGUCCAGACUCCUACGGGAGGCAGCAGUGGGGAAUAUUGGACAAUGGGCGCAAGCCUGAUGCAGCCAUACCGCGUGGGUGAAGAAGGCCUUCGGGUUGUAAAGCCCUUUUGUUGGGAAAGAAAAGCAGCAGGUUAAUACCCCGCUGUUCUGACGGUACCCAAAGAAUAAGCACCGGCUAACUUCGUG